AAAUUGAAGAGUUUGAUCAUGGCUCAGAUUGAACGCUGGCGGCAGGCCUAACACAUGCAAGUCGAGCGGUAGCACAGAGAGCUUGCUCUCGGGUGACGAGCGGCGGACGGGUGAGUAAUGUCUGGGAAACUGCCUGAUGGAGGGGGAUAACUACUGGAAACGGUAGCUAAUACCGCAUAACGUCGCAAGACCAAAGUGGGGGACCUUCGGGCCUCAUGCCAUCAGAUGUGCCCAGAUGGGAUUAGCUAGUAGGUGGGGUAACGGCUCACCUAGGCGACGAUCCCUAGCUGGUCUGAGAGGAUGACCAGCCACACUGGAACUGAGACACGGUCCAGACUCCUACGGGAGGCAGCAGUGGGGAAUAUUGCACAAUGGGCGCAAGCCUGAUGCAGCCAUGCCGCGUGUGUGAAGAAGGCCUUCGGGUUGUAAAGCACUUUCAGCGGGGAGGAAGGCGUUAAGGUUAAUAACCUUGGCGAUUGACGUUACCCGCAGAAGAAGCACCGGCUAACUCCGUGCCAGCAGCCGCGGUAAUACGGAGGGUGCAAGCGUUAAUCGGAAUUACUGGGCGUAAAGCGCACGCAGGCGGUCUGUCAAGUCGGAUGUGAAAUCCCCGGGCUCAACCUGGGAACUGCAUUCGAAACUGGCAGGCUAGAGUCUUGUAGAGGGGGGUAGAAUUCCAGGUGUAGCGGUGAAAUGCGUAGAGAUCUGGAGGAAUACCGGUGGCGAAGGCGGCCCCCUGGACAAA
rnacentral:rRNA from 1 species